CAGUAGCCGCGGUAAUACGUAGGGUGCGAGCGUUAAUCGGAAUUACUGGGCGUAAAGCGUGCGCAGGCGGUGCUGCAAGACCGAUGUGAAAGCCCCGGGCUUAACCUGGGAACUGCAUUGGUGACUGCAGCGCUGGAGUAUGGCAGAGGGGGGUGGAAUUCCACGUGUAGCAGUGAAAUGCGUAGAGAUGUGGAGGAACACCGAUGGCGAAGGCAGCCCCCUGGGCCAAUACUGACGCUCAUGCACGAAAGCGUGGGGAGCAAACAGGAUUAGAUACCCGCGUAGUCCCUGUCUCUUAUAC
rnacentral:rRNA from 1 species